rnacentral:rRNA from 1 species
UACGUAGGGGGCAAGCGUUGUCCGGAAUCAUUGGGCGUAAAGCGCGUGUAGGCGGUCCGGUAAGUCCGCUGUGAAAGUCGGGGGCUCAACCCUCGGAUGCCGGUGGAUACUGUCGGGCUUGAGUACGGAAGAGGCGAGUGGAAUUCCUGGUGUAGCGGUGAAAUGCGCAGAUAUCAGGAGGAACACCAAUUGCGGAGGCAGCUCGCUGGGACGUCACUGACGCUGAGACGCGAAAGCGUGGGGAGCAAACAGG